AUUGAACGCUGGCGGCAGGCCUAACACAUGCAAGUCGAGCGGAGCGGAGGACGGGUGAGUAAUGCCUAGGAAUCUGCCUGGUAGUGGGGGAUAACGUCCGGACACGGGCGCUAAUACCGCAUACUCUCCGUCGAGCCUAGGCCGGAUGGUCUAGUUGGUGGGGUAAAGGCCUACCAAGGCGACGAGCCGUACCUGGUCUGAGCGGAUGAUCAGUAACACUAGAACUGAGACACGGCCCGGACUCCUACGGGAGGCAGCAGUGGGGAAUAUUGGACAAUGGGCGAAAGCCUGAUCCAGCCAUGCCGCGUGUGUGAAGAAGGUCUUCGGAUUGUAAAGCACUUUAAGUUGGGAGGCGUUACCAACAGAAUAAGCACCGGCUAACUUCGUGCCAGCAGCCGCGGUAAUAC
rnacentral:rRNA from 1 species